GCUUAGUAGGGGUUCGACUGUAUUUUGUGGCUUUGAAGUUUGCCGGGCUUCCAGAUCAUCGUAUCUUGACAGGCUUUGACAGAAGAAAAGUAUCUGGAUAAAAACUUGCGGUGUCUGAUGGAGUCAAUCUAGAAGCACUCUAUUCUCACAUGGGGCUGAGGUGAAAUUAUAAUCAGAAGAUGGCAUUCGCAGAAAACAAACCACGGCUACAGAGGAGAUCUUGGGCUCCUGGAUCCGGAGGAACAG
rnacentral:lncRNA from 1 species